rnacentral:rRNA from 1 species
UGUCAAACUACAAAGGGCUCACGGU